UUUCUGCUCUUCUGGACAAUUCAAUUAACUAAAUUUACAUUCUUCGUAUUGCCUUUU
ensembl:ncRNA Y71H9A.7 ncRNA